UGGGGAAUAUUGGACAAUGGGCGAAAGCCUGAUCCAGCCAUGCCGCGUGUGUGAAGAAGGUCUUCGGAUUGUAAAGCACUUUAAGUUGGGAGGAAGGGCAGUAAGCGAAUACCUUGCUGUUUUGACGUUACCGACAGAAUAAGCACCGGCUAACUCUGUGCCAGCAGCCGCGGUAAUACAGAGGGUGCAAGCGUUAAUCGGAAUUACUGGGCGUAAAGCGCGCGUAGGUGGUUCGUUAAGUUGAAUGUGAAAGCCCCGGGCUCAACCUGGGAACUGCAUCCAAAACUGGCGAGCUAGAGUAGGGCAGAGGGUGGUGGAAGUUCCUGUGUAGCGGUGAAAGGCGUAGAUAUAGGAAAGAAAACCAGUGGCGAAGGCGACCACCUGGGCUCAUACUGACACUGAGGUGCGAAAGCGUGGGGAGCAAACAGG
rnacentral:rRNA from 1 species